rnacentral:rRNA from 1 species
AUUGAACGCUGGCGGCAGGCCUAACACAUGCAAGUCGAGCGGAGCGGCGGACGGGGGAGUAAUGCCUAGGAAUCUGACUGGGAGUGGGGGAUAACGUCCGGAAACGGGCGCUAAUACCGCAUACUAUCAGAUGAGCCUAGGUCGGAUUAGCUAGUUGGUGGGGUAAAGGCCCACCACGGCGCCGAUCCGUAACUUGUCGGAGAGGAUGAUCAGUCACACGGGAAAUGUGACACGGUCCAGACUCCUACGCGAGGCAGCAGUGGGGAAUAUUGGACAAUGGGCGAAAGCCUGAUCCAGCCAUGCCGCGUGUGUGAAGAAGGUCUUCGGAUUGUAAAGCACUUUAAGUUGGGAGGCGUUACCAACAGAAUAAGCACCGGCUAACUUCGUGCCAGCAGCCGCGGUAAUUC